UACGUAGGGUCCAAGCGUUAUCCGGAAUCACUGGGCGUAAAGCGUGCGUAGGUGGCGUGUUAAGUGUGAUGUUAAAUCGUGUGGCUCAACCAUAUCGAUGUGUCGCAUACUGGCAUGCUAGAGGACAGCAGAGGCAAGUGGAAUUAGUAGUGUAGCAGUGAAAUGCGUAGAUAUUACUAGGAACACCAAUGGCGAAGGCAGCUUGCUGGGCUACUCCUGACACUGAGGUACGAAGGCCAGGGGAGCAAACGGG
rnacentral:rRNA from 1 species